rnacentral:rRNA from 1 species
UACGGAGGAUGCGAGCGUUAUCCGGAUUUAUUGGGUUUAAAGGGUGCGUAGGCGGCACGCCAAGUCAGCGGUGAAAUUUCCGGGCUCAACCCGGACUGUGCCGUUGAAACUGGCGAGCUAGAGUUCACAAGAGGCAGGCGGAAUGCGUGGUGUAGCGGUGAAAUGCAUAGAUAUCACGCAGAACCCCGAUUGCGAAGGCAGCCUGCUAGGGUGCGACAGACGCUGAGGCACGAAAGCGUGGGUAUCGAACAGG